GACGCCGCUCCGCUCCUCGUGGCAGACUCCAUGUGGCACGCCCCGGUAAUAGCCACGGGUCCACCCCACUACUCUCCGCAACAAACUUUUUCUGACUAUGGGCGGCCCACUGCCAGACGGUUACAGGCAUCACCAUCAGUUUGUUGCCCCCUCCACCUAUAAAAGGGGGAACCCCAGAUACGUUAUUCUAUAAGCUCUCAUUUUUACCUAGAAACUCUGCUAAAAUUUUCGUUCGAGCACUCCAUUCUUGUUGAGGCAGAG
rnacentral:lncRNA from 1 species